AACCAGGAGGUUGGCUUAGAAGCAGCCAUCCUUUAAAGAUAGCGUAACAGCUCACUGGUCAAGCGUUCCUGCGGCGAAGAUGUACCGGGUCUAAAACUAUGCGCCGAAGCUUAGGGUUUACACUUAUGUGUAAGCGGUAGCGGAGCGUUCCGUAAGCCUGCGAAGCGGUACCUGUGAGGGGCCGUGGAGGUAUCGGAAGUGCGAAUGAUGACAUGAGUAGCGACAAAAAGUGUGAGAGACACUUUCGCCGAAAGUCCAAGGGUUCCUGCGCAAUGCUAAUCAGCGCAGGGUUAGUCGGCCCCUAAGGUGAGGCAGAAAUGCGUAGCCGAUGGGAAUCACGUUAAUAUUCGUGAACCAGGUGGUAGUGACGGAUCGCGCAGAGCGGUAUCCCCUUAUUGGAUUGGGGGUGCAGUGAGCCGGUUCCUGGAAAUAGCUCCACCAACAUUGACCGUACCCUAAACCGACACAGGUGGACUGGUAGAGUAUACCAAGGCGCUUGAGAGAACUAUACUGAAGGAACUCGGCAAAUUGCAUGCGUAACUUCGGGAUAAGCAUGACUUCUAUCGGGGCAACCCUUUAGGAGUGGCACAAAAGAGGGGGUGGCGACUGUUUACUAAAAACACAGGGCUCUGCGAAGAUGCAAAUCGACGUAUAGGGUCUGACGCCUGCCCGGUGCCGGAAGGUUAAAUGGAGGGGUUAACGCCCUGAAAUGAAGCCCCGGUAAACGGCGGCCGUAACAAUAACGGUCCUAAGGUAGCGAAAUUCCUUGUCGGGUAAGUUCCGACCUGCACGAAUGGCGUAACGACUUCCCCACUGUCUCCAGUAUAGACUCAGCGAAAUUGAAUUCCCCGUGAAGAUGCGGGGUUCCUGCGGUCAGACGGAAAGACCCCAUGCACCUUUACUAUAGCUUUACGCUGGCAUUUGUGUCGGCAUGUGCAGGAUAGGUGGUAGGCUUUGAAGCAGGGACGCUAGUUUCUGUGGAGCCGCAAGAUGAGAUACCACCCUUAUCGUCAUAGAUGUCUAACCGCGGCAUAACAGUGUCCGGGACAGCGUAUGGUGGGUAGUUUGACUGGGGCGGUCGCCUCCCAAAGAGUAACGGAGGCGCGCGAUGGUGGGCUCAGACCGGUCGGAAAUCGGUCGCUGAGUGCAAUGGCAUAAGCCUGCCUGACUGCGAGACUGACAAGUCGAGCAGAGACGAAAGUCGGUCAUAGUGAUCCGGUGGUCCCGCGUGGAAGGGCCAUCGCUCAACGAAUAAAAGGUACGCUGGGGAUAACAGGCUGAUAAUGCCCAAGAGUCCAUAUCGACGGCAUUGUUUGGCACCUCGAUGUCGGCUCAUCACAUCCUGGGGCUGGAGCAGGUCCCAAGGGUAUGGCUGUUCGCCAUUUAAAGUGGUACGUGAGCUGGGUUUAGAACGUCGUGAGACAGUUCGGUCCCUAUCUGCCGUGGGUGUAGGAAUAUUGAGAAGAGCUGACCCUAGUACGAGAGGACCGGGUUGGACGAAUCUCUGGUGGACCUGUUGUGGCGCCAGCCGCAUUGCAGGGUAGCUAAAUUCGGACGGGAUAACUGCUGAAAGCAUCUAAGCAGGAAGCCUCCUUCAAAACUAGUAUUCCCUUGAGAGCCGUGGAAGACCACCACGUCGAUAGGCCGGGUGUGGAAGCGUAGCAAUAUGUGAAGCUUACCGGUACUAAUAGCUC
rnacentral:rRNA from 1 species